GUUGUAUAGUUAAGUGACUAAGCGUACACGGUGGAUGCCUUGGCAAUCAGAGGCGAAGAAGGACGUGCUAAUCUGCGAAAAGCGUGGGGGAGCUGAUAAGGAGCGCAAAUCCCACGAUGUCCGAAUGGGGAAACCCGAUAGGUGAAGAAUCUAUCAUUGUUGUCUGAAUUCAUAGGGCAACAAGGCAAACCGGGAGAACUGAAACAUCUAAGUACCCCGAGGAAAAGAAAUCAACCGAGAUUCUGCGAGUAGCGGCGAGCGAAAGCGGAGGAGCCAGCGAGUGAUAGCAUAAGUUUUAGGAGAAUUGUCUGGGAAGGCAAGCGAGAGAGGGUGACAGCCCCGUAUCCGAAAAGACGGAUGUGGUACUAAGCUAGCGAGAAGUAGGGCGGGACACGAGGAAUCCUGUUUGAAGAAGGGGGGACCAUCCUCCAAGGCUAAAUACUCCUGAUUGACCGAUAGUGGACCAGUACCGUGAGGGAAAGGCGAAAAGAACCCCGGGAGGGGAGUGAAAGAGAACCUGAAACCGUGUACGUACAAGCAGUGGGAGCCCCAUCACUCAAUCGUAUUGAUUGAAGAGAGGGAGCGGAACUCAUCUCAUAAAGGUUAACAAUUUACGAAUGAAAUGAGUAAAUUGGUCAACCGAAAAAGAAGCAGUGGGAUUGAGUGAUGGGGUGACUGCGUACCUUUUGUAUAAUGGGUCAGCGACUUAUAUUUUGUAGCGAGGUUAACCGGAUAGGGGAGCCGAAGGGAAACCGAGUCUUAACUGGGCGGUUAGUUGCAAGAUAUAGACCCGAAACCCGGUGAUCUAGCCAUGGGCAGGAAGAAGGUUGGGUAACACUAACUGGAGGGCCGAACCGACUACUGUUGAAAAAGUAGCGGAUGACCUGUGGCUGGGGGUGAAAGGCCAAUCAAACCGGGAGAUAGCUGGUUCUCCCCGAAAUCUAUUUAGGUAGAGCCUUAUAUGAAUACCUUCGGGGGUAGAGCACUGUUUCGGCUAGGGGUCCAUCCCGGAUUACCAACCCGAUGCAAACUGCGAAUACCGAAGAGUAAUGUAUAGGAGACACACGGCGGGUGCUAACGUUCGUCGUGGAGAGGGAAACAACCCAGACCGCCAGCUAAGGUCCCAAAGUCUAUAUUAAGUGGGAAACGAAGUGGAAAGGCUUAGACAGCUAGGAUGUUGGCUUAGAAGCAGCCAUCAUUUAAAGAAAGCGUAAUAGCUCACUAGUCGAGUCGGUCUGCGCGGAAGAUGUAACGGGGCUAAAAUAUAGCACCGAAGCUGCGGCAUCA
rnacentral:rRNA from 1 species